GACGUAGGGCGCGAGCGUUGUCCGGAUUUAUUGGGCGUAAAGAGCUCGUAGGCGGCUUGCCGCGUCGUCUGUGAAAUCCCGCGGCUCAACCGCGGGUCUGCAGUCGAUACGGGCAGGCUAGAGUUCGGUAGGGGAGACUGGAAUUCCUGGUGUAGCGGUGAAAUGCGCAGAUAUCAGGAGGAACACCGGUGGCGAAGGCGGCUUUCUGGACAGUAACCGGCGCUGAGGCACGAAAGCUAGGGGAGCAAACAGG
rnacentral:rRNA from 1 species